rnacentral:tRNA from 1 species
GGACGAUGAUGUAGCCCGAGACCGCCAUCGAGGUGCCGGUCGCCUCCAGGAGCAGCACCAUGAGGAACGGGGCG